UACGUAGGGGGCAAGCGUUGUCCGGAUUUAUUGGGCGUAAAGAGCGUGUAGGCGGCUAGAUAGGUCCGUUGUGAAAACUCGAGGCUCAACCUCGAGACGUCGGAUGGAAACCAUCUGGCUAGAGUCCGGAAGAGGAGAGUGGAAUUCCUGGUGUAGCGGUGAAAUGCGCAGAUAUCAGGAAGAACACCCGUGGCGAAGGCGGCUCUCUGGUACGUGACUGACGCUGAGACGCGAAAGCGUGGGAGCAAACAGG
rnacentral:rRNA from 1 species